rnacentral:rRNA from 1 species
GACGAACGCUGGCGGCGUGCCUAAUACAUGCAAGUCGAACGCUUCUUUCCUCCCGAGUGCUUGCACUCAAUUGGAAAGAGGAGUGGCGGACGGGUGAGUAACACGUGGGUAACCUACCCAUCAGAGGGGGAUAACACUUGGAAACAGGUGCUAAUACCGCAUAACAGUUUAUGCCGCAUGGCAUAAGAGUGAAAGGCGCUUUCGGGUGUCGCUGAUGGAUGGACCCGCGGUGCAUUAGCUAGUUGGUGAGGUAACGGCUCACCAAGGCCACGAUGCAUAGCCGACCUGAGAGGGUGAUCGGCCACACUGGGACUGAGACACGGCCCAGACUCCUACGGGAGGCAGCAGUAGGGAAUCUUCGGCAAUGGACGAAAGUCUUACCGAGCAACGCCGCGUGAGUGAAGAAGGUUUUCGGAUCGUAAAACUCUGUUGUUAGAGAAGAACAAGGACGUUAGUAACUGAACGUCCCCUGACGGUAUCUAACCAGAAAGACACGGCUAACUACGUG